UUACGGUCACAUCACGUUGAAACACCGUUUCCGUAUGAUCACCGAAGUUAAGCAAAGUUGAACAUGGUCAUUACUUAGAUGCGAGACUGCUUGAGAAUAUCAGGAACUGUAAG